GGUUAAGCGACUAAGCGUACACGGUGGAUGCCCUGGCAGUCAGAGGCGAUGAAGGACGUGCUAAUCUGCGAUAAGCGCCGGUAAGGUGAUAUGAACCGUUAUAACCGGCGAUUUCCGAAUGGGGAAACCCAGUGUGACUCGUCACACUAUCAUUAACUGAAUCCAUAGGUUAAUGAGGCGAACCGGGGGAACUGAAACAUCUAAGUACCCCGAGGAAAAGAAAUCAACCGAGAUUCCCCCAGUAGCGGCGAGCGAACGGGGAGGAGCCCAGAGCCUGAAUCAGCAUGUGUGUUAGUGGAAGCGUCUGGAAAGGCGCGCGAUACAGGGUGACAGCCCCGUACACAAAAGCGCAUGUGCUGUGAGCUCGAUGAGUAGGGCGGGACACGUGGUAUCCUGUCUGAAUAUGGGGGGACCAUCCUCCAAGGCUAAAUACUCCUGACUGACCGAUAGUGAACCAGUACCGUGAGGGAAAGGCGAAAAGAACCCCGGCGAGGGGAGUGAAAAAGAACCUGAAACCGUGUACGUACAAGCAGUGGGAGCCCCACCACUAAGCCAGUGGUGAACUCCACAUACGCAUCCUUUGCUGAGGAUACGGUUAACGGAGCGAAAGCGACGUUCAACCUCAAAAGAAGCAGAGGGGGCUUAGUGGUGGGGUGACUGCGUACCUUUUGUAUAAUGGGUCAGCGACUUAUAUUCUGUAGCAAGGUUAACCGAAUAGGGGAGCCGGAGGGAAACCGAGUCUUAAUUGGGCGUUAAGUUGCAGGGUAUAGACCCGAAACCCGGUGAUCUAGCCAUGGGCAGGUUGAAGGUUGGGUAACACUAACUGGAGGACCGAACCGACUAAUGUUGAAAAAUUAGCGGAUGACCUGUGGCUGGGGGUGAAAGGCCAAUCAAACCGGGAGAUAGCUGGUUCUCCCCGAAAGCUAUUUAGGUAGCGCCUCGUGAAUUCAUCUCCGGGGGUAGAGCACUGUUUCGGCUAGGGGGCCAUCCCGGCUUACCAACCCGAUGCAAACUGCGAAUACCGGAGAAUGUUAUCACGGGAGACACACGGCGGGUGCUAACGUCCGUCGUGAAGAGGGAAACAACCCAGACCGCCAGCUAAGGUCCCAAAGUCAUGGUUAAGUGGGAAACGAUGUGGGAAGGCCCAGACAGCCAGGAUGUUGGCUUAGAAGCAGCCAUCAUUUAAAGAAAGCGUAAUAGCUCACUGGUCGAGUCGGCCUGCGCGGAAGAUGUAACGGGGCUAAACCAUG
rnacentral:rRNA from 2 species